GGGACAUUUGUGAUUGGAUGAAGGACUCUGGAACCUCUGAUGUUGGUUUUCUACACAGAGGAGGCCAGCAAGCUUUUCCUGUAGGCUUGUUUCUCAAGAAUGAUCCUCAUCGAGUUGAUAUUCCUAGGCUUGGUGGUUCAUAUAAUCACCUAGCAAAAUCCCAUCCUAUUAGUAUUGAGCAGCAUGAGGAAGUGAUUCGGUGGGAAGAAGGGUGUAUGGACAAUGUAAAAGAUAGGGUUACACAUCUAAGUAAGCAGAAGCCGUGUUGUUGUUCUACUUAUGAUGCCGAUUUUACAAGAAUAUCCAAAGAUUCUAUCAGGCACAUGGGAAAAGGUUCACGGGGACAUUGCAGCUCUAUUCGUGAAAGGUCUGCAGCAACAUGAGCAGACCU
rnacentral:misc_RNA from 1 species